CCCCAAAGCCAGUAGUCGAAGCCUUCGCCAUCACAGCAACAUGUGCUUGACGUUAAAAAUAUCGACACCAAACUAUCCUUUUCUUUACUUCAUUCAUGUAGAGAUAUCAAGUCGAUUUCAUAUGGGUGUGAUCACUUCUUUAUUCCCCUUUAUUUACCCUGUGGUAGGGAAAUUGUAUUUGAAUAAGAGGACUAGUGUUUAGUCUUUAAGGCUCUCUAAUUAGUAAAACAAAAUCUGUUCCAGCUAUAAAAGGAAGGUGUAGCAGAAGGAGGAGAAGAAACAAAGAACACCAACCUGGCUGUUUUAUUUUAUACCUUAAUGAUUUGCUUUAUUAUUCUUGUUUGUAUACUAUCCC
rnacentral:lncRNA from 1 species